GAUGAACGCUGGCGGCGUGCCUAAUACAUGCCAGUCGAGCGAACAGACGAGGAGCUUGCUCCUCUGACGUUAGCGGCGGACGGGUGAGUAACACGUGGAUAACCUACCUAUAAGACUGGGAUAACUUCGGGAAACCGGAGCUAAUACCGGAUAAUAUAUUGAACCGCAUGGUUCAAUAGUGAAAGACGGUUUUGCUGUCACUUAUAGAUGGAUCCGCGCCGCAUUAGCUAGUUGGUAAGGUAACGGCUUACCAAGGCAACGAUGCGUAGCCGACCUGAGAGGGUGCUCGGCCACACUGGAACUGAGACACGGUCCAGACUCCUACGGGAGGCAGCAGUAGGGAAUCUUCCGCAAUGGGCGAAAGCCUGACGGAGCAACGCCGCGUGAGUGAUGAAGGUCUUCGGAUCGUAAAACUCUGUUAUUAGGGAAGAACAAAUGUGUAAGUAACUAUGCACGUCUUGACGGUACCUAAUCAGAAAGCCACGGCUAACUACGUG
rnacentral:rRNA from 1 species